UGCUGUAGCUCAGUGGUAGAGUGCUUACCUAGCAUAUAUGAAGCCCUGGGUUCAAUAUCCAGCACUGCAA
rnacentral:tRNA from 1 species